rnacentral:lncRNA from 1 species
UGAGUUCGAUGCUUGUCUUUAAUUUUCAGUAUAUGAAUGAAUUAAUAAAGAAUCUUCAUUUUUCAUUUACUUGCCUACUUUGAGAAUGUACAAUUUGUGUAUAAUGUACUUUUUUUAAAGUCAUAUUUAACAAAAUAAAUCAUGAAAAUUGCCCAAAAAAAAAUUCAACUGCUAUAAAAUGUAAAUAAUAUCAAGUUUGAAUAUUUAAAAUCU